UACGGGGGGGGCAAGCGUUGUUCGGAAUUACUGGGCGUAAAGGGUGCGUAGGCGGCUUGUCGCGUCGGGAGUGAAAGCCCGCUGCUUAACGGCGGGUUUGCUUUCGAUACGGGCUGGCUAGAGUGUGGUAGGGGAGAUCGGAAUUCCUGGUGUAGCGGUGAAAUGCGCAGAUAUCAGGAGGAACACCGGUGGCGAAGGCGGAUCUCUGGGCCAUUACUGACGCUGAGGAGCGAAAGCGUAGGGAGCGAACAGG
rnacentral:rRNA from 1 species